GGCAAAGCAUGGUAAAGACUUCAAUGACAGACAUAGGGAAACGGACUCAGACACGGACUAAAAUACACAGGACUCAAGGGCAAAACAGGAAACAGCUGAUAACAAUCAGAAAUUCACACGAGGAGGGGAGAGGAGAAUGAAAGUGGAAGAGCCUGAUGCUGACGAUAGCGACGGUACAGACGGCACGCUCCCUCCCGCCAAUGGCACGUUCAUCCGUCAGCGUUACAGACGGCACCGACGAAGAAUCGUGAUCCAGAGGAGCUCCAGUACCUGCAGAUGCAUCUUGGGAAAAUUUAGAUUCUGAC